rnacentral:miRNA from 1 species
CGCGGGACGGGAUUCCCGUCCCGCGGGACGGGAUUACUGUCCCACGGGACGGGAAUCCCGUCCCGCG